rnacentral:tRNA from 1 species
GCCGAGGUGGCGAAAUGGAAGCCGCGCCAGCCUUAGGAGCUGGUGGGAGUAAUCCCGUGGGAGUUCAACUCUCCCCCUCGGCA